UCUGUCUCUCUCUAUGUAUCUCUGUCUCUCUCUAUGUAUCUCUGUCUCUCUCUAUGUAUCUCUGUCUCUGUCUCUCUCUAUGUAUCUCUGUCUCUGUCUCUGUCUCUGUCUCUCUCUGUCUCUCUCUGUCUCUGGGGGGGUAGUUCCAGAGGUAAUUUCAAAACAACAUUCCAGUGUCUGUGACUGAAGGGGUCCUGUCGACAUGUUUAAUCAAAUAUACCAAUCAAAAUUCUAAUCAUAUAUAUAUAUAUAAACGUCCUUUUGUUUUUGCGUGUUUUCUCCCUAAAUUAAAACAAAAACAAAAACUGACAGUUGAAACAGUGUACACACAUCAUCAGUCUCUUCUCUCCUCCCCAGUCCAGUUUCUGACCUCUGACCCCUGACAGAACAAUCAGCAGCCAGUCCUCAGUAACGACGGUAACUCCUCUAUGAAGGCUCCUGGUGAUUUUCAUUCAACCUGGGGUCGUUCCGUGUUCCAUGUCCUGUGUUCUGUGUGCAGGGCAGCCACAUAGACGUCCCCCUCCCAUACUGUAGGUACUGGUGUUACACUGAUAGACGUCCCCCUCCCAUACUGUAGGUACUGGUGUUACACUGAUAGACGUCCCCCUCCCAUACUGUAGGUACUGGUGUUACACUGAUAGACGUCCCCCUCCCAUACUGUAGGUACUGGUGUUACACUGAUAGACGUCCCCCUCCCAUACUGUAGGUACUGGUGUUACACUGAUAGACGUCCCCCUCCCAUACUGUAGGUACUGGUGUUACACUGAUAGACGUCCCCCUCCCAUACUGUAGGUACUGGUGUUACACUGAUAGACGUCCCCCUCCCAUACUGUAGGUACUGGUGUUACACUGAUAGACGUCCCCCUCCCAUACUGUAGGUACUGGUGUUACACUGAUAGACGUCCCCCUCCCAUACUGUAGGUACUGGUGUUACACUGAUAGACGUCCCCCUCCACAGCAGACAUGAACCAGUGAGGGAAAGAAAGGUCCAGUUUGAAAUGAGAGAGUGGAAGGCUGGUGGGGGGCUAGGUUAAGAGAUCUGUCUACCCCCUCAAUGAGAGAGUGGAAGGCUGGUGGGGGGUGUGGGGGGCUAGGUUAAGAGAUCUGUCUACCCUCUCAAUGAGAGAGUGGAAGGCUGGUGGGGGGCUAGGUUAAGAGAUCUGUCUACCCCCUCAAUGGGAGAGUGGAAGGCUGGUGGGGGGGCUAGGUUAAGAGAUCAAAGUCUACCCCGCUCAAAGAGAGCGCAUUUCAUCGUCCCCCGUGCUCCCUCUCUUUCUAUAUCCUCCUUUCCAUACAGUCUGUUUCUUCACCCCAAAGUCCAACACACAUCCAACACCCUGGGUCUAGCCCCCCUUUCCAACACCCUCCUUCCCCCCUAAGUCGAG